GGUGAGGAGUUUUUAUAAGGAAAUGAAGAUUCAUGAAAGAUGACAUUUCUACUAACAAAGGUUUUAUGAUUUUGUAAAUCAUAUACAUUAAAUCCUUUGUAUCCAAGAGGAUAACCAAGGAAUAUGCACCUAGAUGCCCAAGGAGAGAAUAUUUUGAGGUGAUCAUAGUCUAGUGGCUUUUGGAAGAGCAUAAGCAGCCAAAUAGUUUGAGGUGAUCAUAGUCUAGUGGCUUUUGGAAGAGCAGCUCAUAAGGGGUUUUGUUGUCGAGAAUUGGAGAUGGUAUCCGGAUAAUGAUGUGAACUGCUGUGAGUAUGCAAUCACUCUAGAAGAUGAGAGGAACAUUUGAUUGAAAAAAGAAGGGCCCUGGCUACUUGUAGGAUGUAUUGGUGCUUUCUUCCUACAAUUCGAUUUUGUUGUGGUGAUUCGACACAACAUUUCUAAUGAAGGAUUCCAUUAGAGUUAUAAAUUCUGGCAUGAGGAACUCAGCACCAUUGUCAGUUGACUCAUUUCUAAAGGUCUUUAUUUUGGUGUUAAACUGUGUAAUGACCGUUUGAUAGAAGUUCUUUAUGUGGCUACGAGUUUCGGACUUGGAUUGCAUCAGGAAAACCCAGGUGCAUCUAGAAUAAUCGUCAACUAUAGUGAGGAAAAAUCUGUAACCAUUAAAAGAAGGCACAUGGAAAGGACCCCAAAUAUCACAAUGUACUAAGGCAAAGAUUUUAUUUGAUACUGAAUUACUAAUUGGAAAGGGUAACUUUUUCUGCUUUGCUAGGGGACAAAUUUCACAUUUAUGUAAAUUUUUACAAGGAAUAUGAGAAGAAAUGCAUGGGAUCUUGGACAUUCUGGUGUUGGAUAUGUGCCCAAGUCUGCAAUGCCAGAGAUUGUAAUUAAAUUGAGCUGAGACAUGUGUGGGGCUGUUGGUAAUAGGUAGAGGUUCAGUUUUGUCUUGAGCUAUCAUGUAGUGAUAUAGGCCAUCUUUUUCUUUAGCAAAGUCAGUCAUCUUCAUGCUAGCCAGAUCCUGUAUAAGACAAUGGAAGGAAGAGAAAAUUACAUGGAUAUUGGAAAAUGUAGUUAGUUUAGAGACUGAUAUCAAAUUGAAUGAGAAAGAUAGCACCCAUAAGACAUUUUCAAGAAGAAGACUAUCAGAGAUUCACUUUUCGAAUAUGGUUGAUUGGACAUAAGAACCAUUUGGUAAGUGAACUUUGGUGGUUGUGGCUGAGUCAAUGAGGUAAAGAAUGUAGGUGAAUAUACCAUAUGGUCUGUUGCACCUAUGCCAAUUAUUCAGGCAUUGAUUUUCAAUUUGGAAUAAGUUGAAUUACAGAAAGAAAUACGUGUUUGAACUGUAAUUUAGGAUUCAAAUAUGGAGUUCGACGAUGAUUUCAUAAUAGUAGUAGUACAACAUAUGUGACGAUGAAGAAGAAAACCCUAGAUCAAGGAAAAUGGUGGCUGCUGUUUGAGGUGCUGUGUUGGGUUAUUGAAGGGAUAUUUGUUGAGUCUUAGCAGAUGCCAGUAAUUGUUGAAAGAGAUCUUGAUUGAAUGAAAUGGUUGGUCCCUCAUCUUCUGCAGAUUGGUCUAGGCUUACAACAUGAGCAGCAGAGGUAUCAACCAAGGUUCUUGGACCUCUUGGUCCCUCCUGUGAUUUGAAAGCAUUUAUCAGCAGUGUGAUUGGGGUAUCCACAAUGGGUACAUUCUGGCUUCUUCUUGUCCUUCCAAGAGUGAGGUUUAUUGAAUGUUCCAUGAGGUUGUCUUGCUGUCAUAGCAGCUGAUUCUGGGGGUGAGUGAUUCUGCAGGUCCCUUUGACUCUCUUUUUGAAGCAUAAAGGCAUAAACUCGAGCCAAUAAUGGACGGGGAGAAGUAAGCAGGAGUUGGCUUCUUAGUGCAGAAUAGCAUUCAUUUAAUCCAACAAGAAACUUCAUGACAGUAUCUAAUUGCUGAGUGGUUGAUAUAUUCUUCAAUAUAUCACUAGUGUAAUUGGAGAGCAUCCCACAACUGAACUUAGGCAGAGGUCUGUAGCUGAUAUAUUCUUCCCAAAUAGCUUUGAAUGAGUUGUAAUACACGGUGAGAAUUUGUGAUCCUUGAGAAAUGGAACUUAGGCAUUUCCAUCACUUUGAAUGUACCUGAUUACCUGAUUUUGAGUUCAUUCCAUACUUCAUAUUUUGAGGAAAUGUAUAACAGACUUUGGCGAAUAUCUUUGCUAAUUGAAUUCAAUAGCCAAGAUAAAACCAGAUCAUUUGCUCGAACCAAACAAUUAUACGUAACAAUAACGAAGAUAUUAGAGUUACAAUAGACAAUAAUAUUAGUAUCCCAAGAACGGCUGUUUUGGGCCGAAGAAAAAAACAUGAAAAAGGAUAUAAUGCAUAAUUAGAAGUCAAAAUAUGUGUCAUUAAAC
rnacentral:lncRNA from 1 species